rnacentral:rRNA from 1 species
CGACCAGGGGGGGCAGCUAAACAUGCAAGUCGAACGGUAGCACAGAGGAGCUUGCUCCUUGGGUGACGAGUGGCGGACGGGUGAGUAAUGUCUGGGAAACUGCCCGAUGGAGGGGGAUAACUACUGGAAACGGUAGCUAAUACCGCAUAACGUCGCAAGACCAAAGAGGGGGACCUUCGGGCCUCUUGCCAUCGGAUGUGCCCAGAUGGGAUUAGCUAGUAGGUGGGGUAACGGCUCACCUAGGCGACGAUCCCUAGCUGGUCUGAGAGGAUGACCAGCCACACUGGAACUGAGACACGGUCCAGACUCCUACGGGAGGCAGCAGUGGGGAAUAUUGCACAAUGGGCGCAAGCCUGAUGCAGCCAUGCCGCGUGUAUGAAGAAGGCCUUCGGGUUGUAAAGUACUUUCAGCGAGGAGGAAGGCGUUGUGGUUAAUAACCUUAGUGAUUGACGUUACUCGCAGAAGAAGCACCGGCUAACUCUGUGCCAGCAGCCGCU